UGUUCUGUGGCUUAGUUGGUUAAAGCACCGGCGUCGUGGGUUCGAAUCCUACCAGAACGC
rnacentral:tRNA from 1 species